rnacentral:rRNA from 1 species
GAUUAACGCUGGCGGCGUGCAUAACACAUGCAAGUGAAGUGAAGUGGCGGACGGGUGAGUAACGCGUAGUAACCUGCCUGGUAGUGGGGGAUAACGUCCGGAAACGGGCGCUAAUACCGCAUACUAUCAGAUGAGCCUAGGUCGGAUUAGCUAGUUGGUGGGGUACAGGCCUACCAAGGCGACGAUCCGUAACUGGUCUGAGAGGAUGAUCAGUCACACUGGAACUGAGACACGGUCCAGACUCCUACGGGAGGCAGCAGUGGGGAAUAUUGCGCAAUGGGGGAAACCCUGAUGCAGCAACGCCGCGUGCGGGAUGACGGCCUUCGGGUUGUAAACCGCUUUAAGCCAUGACGCGGUAGUGGCAGAAGAAGCACCGGCUAACUACGUGCCAGCAGCCGCGGUAAUAC